AACAAGUUGAGAGCUACGUUCAGCCAGCCAUCCCGAGGUUCGAUGGUCACUAUGAUCAUUGGGCGAUGUUGAUGGAAAAUUUUCUCAAAUCAAAGGAGUUUUUUGAUAUGGUGGAGACGGGUUAUGAAGAGCCAAAUGAAGGCAAGGUACUCUCAGCUGGUGGUGAUUACUGAAAAUAAUUUUCA